rnacentral:misc_RNA from 1 species
GACUUAUGAAAAGGAAUUCUUAAGCUUUGGUAGCUACUAACAAACAAACAAUGCGAUCGACUUAUCUACUCUUAGCAGCGGUGAUACCAUUCAUCAUCCUUAAUAUUUGGUACACAGGAAUAUGUUUAUGGUGGAUUAUAAAAAUAUCUAUUGUAACAUAUAUCAUUUUAUUUGGUAUACUACCACUCAUAUUUCAUUACUCUUACACAGUACAAAGAAAAAUACUUUUCUUAAAUUUUGUACAUUGGCCACUUAACACAGAUUUUUCAAAGCCAGAGGAUCUUGGCUUGAAGGGAGUUAGGAAUUUUUACUUGCAUACUGACGAACAUGUUAAAUUAGGAGUAUGGCAUAUAUUGCCACAAUCAUUAACAAAUGAUUCAUUUAUUGGAACGAACGAAGCGUUUGAAGCUUCAUUAUAUGACAGUAAUAAACCAGUUUUUUUAUAUAUGCAUGGAAAUAGUGGAAACAGAGCAAGCAGACACAGAUUAGAACUUUAUAAACUUUUCCAACAUUUGGAUUAUCAUGUUAUAUGCUUCGAUUACAGAAGUUACGGAGAUAGCGAUGAAGCAGAUCUUUCAGAAAUAGGUAUUGUCAAUGAUACUAAAUAUAUUAUUAAAUGGGUAAUGGCUAAAGUUAAUGGUAGUGCGCCUGUUUUUGUUUGGGGACAUUCUUUGGGUACUGGGGUGUCGACGCAUGCAUUAGCAUUAUUAUCUGCUAUGGAUGUAAUACCUACAGGUUUGAUACUCGAAUCACCUUUCAAUAAUAUUGUUGAUGAAAUAAGUGAACAUCCAUUUGCCCAGAUGUUUAAACAUUUACCAUGGUUCCAUUGGCUAAUUGUCGAGCCUUUCUGUCAUAAUGGUUUACGAUUUGAAUCGGACAAACACAUUGAAAAUGUUACAUGUCCUAUUGUGAUAUUACAUGCUGAAGAUGAUAAUGUUAUUCCAUUUUAUUUGGGUGAAAAGUUAUACAAAGCAGGAUUGAAAUAUCAUAACAAUGAUACGAAUCAAAUCAAAAUGUUUCGAAUAGAUGCAUCAUAUGGAUUUGGACAUAACUAUAUUUGUCGAUAUAAGGCAUUACCAAACAUAAUUGAGCUUAUAUUAAACAGGAUGGCAUAUAUAGUGUAGUAAAAUAAAUGUUAAAAUUGGCCUAAGACGACAAAUACUUUUUACACAUAAUGCGUAUAUUACGAAGAGUAUGAAUCAUCGAAUUUGCGUAAUUAUGCAAUGAGACAUUACUAAAUGACACAAGACUAAAAUUAGUAUAUAUAUACAUUUAGUAUAACGCACACAUAUUUUUGAUUAAAAAAAGUAAAGAUAAAGGAUGUACUGCAGUUGAACUCGAUUUAACUCUUACAAAAGACAACAUUCCAAUAGUAUUCCACGAUGCCAAU